UACGAAGGGGGCUAGCGUUGCUCGGAAUCACUGGGCGUAAAGGGUGCGUAGGCGGGUCUUUAAGUCAGGGGUGAAAUCCUGGAGCUCAACUCCAGAACUGCCUUUGAUACUGAGGAUCUUGAGUUUGGGAGAGGUGAGUGGAACUGCGAGUGUAGAGGUGAAAUUCGUAGAUAUUCGCAAGAACACCAGUGGCGAAGGCGGCUCACUGGCCCGGUACUGACGCUGAGGUGCGAAAGCGUGGGGAGCAAACAGG
rnacentral:rRNA from 1 species